rnacentral:lncRNA from 1 species
UGUUUGUACCUGACACCAAACACAGCUUUGCAUCUCACAUCCCACACCUGAAUCUCCUGAUUUAAAAACUUCUCCCCUCCAUAAAGAAUAUUUAACAAAGUUCCACUGAAACACCCCAGCUUUUGGUACCAACCAGAAUUAAAAUGAGUUGGAGCCCCACAUGCUGAGGUGGUUUUCCAUCUGUCUGGCUCAAUAUUUCAGUUGACUCACCUUUAUGUGCCUCUGUGUUUCCAUACACACAGCACCUUGGAUUUCUCAGAUCCUGUUUCAAGCCCUUCCGAGGAAAUAAGGGCUUGUCUGCCCCGGGGAGCUGUUGUGAAAUACUCUGGAGUGUGAAUUUAAAAUGCAGCACUCUGCCUGCAUUAACUCCUUGUGGGAAUGCUCUGUUCUGCACACAAAAUGCUCGGCAGCUUCCUUUAAUCCGCUCUGCUAAGAUUGGAAUGACCAAAACCAGCGGCUCCCGUGCAGAUGUUUAUUCUCCUCCCGCACCUCUGUUUGUUCGCUUUCGGAGGCAGGGCCGGGUGAUGCCCAAGGUGCGUUCCUGCAGCGCAUUCCCAGCCUCUCUCCCACAGCCCAGCCCUCCCCUGACCUGACCACAACCUCCCUCGGGUCCC